ACACAGGUGAGUAUACUAUUCACUCAGCUUUUAUUGAUUCAGGUUGAAUCUCAAUAACAAUCAAUCAAUAGCAAUAACAAUCAGUAACAAUAUUACAAGAGAGAACUGAGGAAUUAACAAACCAGUCCCAAGAAUCCAAAUCAGGAGUGGGUCUGGGAAAGCAGCAGGGUGGUUGACAUCUUGCAAGGCAGAGUGAGAGGGACACCAUCACGGAGGAGCUCUUUUUCCCCGUGUGGGACAUCUCAAGGUGACUCGCAGGAUGCAUUGUACACAGUCUGAAGUCCUCUACUUAUAUACUCUUGUAUGAUGCAAUGUUGCAUCAGCUUCUGAUUAACACAUGCUUUGUGCAACCUUGACAGGCACAUGUGUUUUAAGUCCCUCUACUGUGCAUGCUCUGAGAGGGUGGUGUUAUACUUUAGAUAAGCAUGUUUACCUCAUUGAACAGAGUGCAUUGGAG